AGUGUUGAGAGGGAGAAAAGCUUUUCUCUUGCCACUUUCUCCAUGACUUCUAUCAUGUCGCCUCUUCCUUGCCUUUUUUGUAAACUAAAAAGGCCCAAACGCUGCCACUUUCCUCCAUCCCCGUGAUCAUUUCAGUUGUCCUUUUCAGAACCAGAUCUGAAGUCCUUUGCCCAGUUCUGGGCUCCUCCACUUUGCCAUAGAUAAACUGGAAUGGUUUCAGAGGAAGGUGAGAAAGAUGCUCAAGGAGUGUGGAAAACCAGUCCUGUGAGGCCAGGUUGGAGGAACUGAGCCUGCUUCCCCUGGAGAAGAGGAGACACGAGAGCCUUCUUCCUCUUCCUCGUCGUCUUUGCUGAAGGGCUGUCAUUAGACAGAAAAAGGCAGGGAGUUCUUUUCUGCUGCUGUCCCAGGUGGCAGGAUGAGAUCCACCUGGCUUACAUUACAGGAAGGCCUCUUCAUUGAUGGUAGGAGCAGUUUGAGGGUGGUGGGAGCACUUCCUGCUCCCUGGAGGGUGAGCCUCUCCGUCCCAAGUGGUCGUCUUCAAGCAGGACCCAGACAUCCAUCUGUUUUCUUUUUGAGCACAGUCCUAGCUGAGCACCAGAAGCCACGCAAUGGGACAGGACUGGCACCAAGCAGUAGAGCCAGAAGCACCAUGAGGCUGGAAGGCGGCUCAUCCUUAGGAUCAGCAGAAAUCCUGAGGGACCUCUUGCACCCAAUGGGGUGGCCAGGACAGGAGCCGGAUGAUGCAAGACGGGACCCUGGAAGCAGCAGCAGCUGCCCCCUACACUCAAAACCCUGCCUGCGCCAACACAUCCUGUGAGCUGCAAAGGCUGCUGGGCCUUGGUGCUCAGCUCUUCCUCGCCAGGUGCUGAGGUGGUGUGUAAUGCCAGCCUCCUGCCACCCAACCCAUUCCCUGUAAGAGGAGGGCAGCAAGAGGCAAGAGGAGCAGAAGGGCCAGGAAGACAGUGCACAAAGGUCUGCCUGGGCGGCUUACAGAGGGAGGCUGACAAUGUGGGAGGUCAGAAAGAGGGUCUUGUCAGGGGCUGAGCCUGGCCUUAUGGAAACUCUUCUAAGGGGGUAUAAAGCCCAGGCACUGUGGGGUGAAUUAGCUGCCAGCCCAAGAGGAAGCGGCUGUGGAGGCAGUACUGGGACCCCCCAUCCCAGCAGGCAAUGGGGGUUCCUUCUGUGGGAGACAAACGCAUAUUCUUGACAGUAAGUUGAGGGGCAAAGGAUCACAGAGCCGCCUUGCGAGACAGACUCAGGCCACAGGAAUGUGGUUGCUGGGGAGAGAGCUCUGCCAUCUCCCUUGUUUGCAGCAGCGGGAAGAAACAAGAGAGCCCUUCUGCUUCCGGUCACUCUCACACUUCUCUGCUUCUCCGUGUCUUGGAGGCAGACAGAUGUCUGUUGGUGGCCUCCCUGAGCACAGAUUCCAGGUUUGUCAUCAACGAUGUAUUUUGUAGCCUAGAAGUGUUUUACCUGCAUAGUUUUACUGUGAUCCAACACAAGACUGUUAAGUAAGUAAACACCAUUUUUAAGCUGA